CGCGCUCUUGCGCAACCGGGCGAUGCGGUGCUGUUGUCACCGGCCUGCGCCAGUUUCGACAUGUUCAAGAACUAUGAAGAGCGCGG
rnacentral:tRNA from 1 species